UACAGAGGGGGGCAAGCGUUGUCCGGAUUUACUGGGCGUACAGCGCGCGCAGGCGGUUGCGUAUGUGAGCGGUGACAUCCGCGGGCUCAACCCGCGGCGGCCCGCUUACACAGCGCGACUGGAGGCAGGGAGAGGGAUGUGGAAUACCCGGUGGAGCGGUGAAAUGCGUAGAGAUCGGGUGGAACACCAGCGGCGAAGGCGGCAUCCUGGCCCUGUACUGACGCUGAGGCGCGAUAGCGUGGGGAGCAAACGGG
rnacentral:rRNA from 1 species